CCAUCUAAUAAAAUCCUGUUUGAUUCAACUACCUUCAUUCAUUCUCAUCAUUACCCAGUUAGUCUUAUUGCAACUUGGUUUAUGGAUUAAAAAUCAUUAAGCAUGAAUAUCUUAAAUGUGAAUUGGUUGGGACUCUCUGAGAAUUGUUUGGGGUUCUUUGAUUUUCAUUCCAGGCCUGCCCUCUUUCUAAAUAACCUUCAAAUUUGUUUUUGCCAGCCUUCUUCUUUAACCUCAAGUGACACAGCCUGUGUUCCAGAGAUAGUAGAGGAGAAAAUGUGUUCAAUGAUUUUUUAUCAUUUCUAAACACAUGAGCAGAGGAAUAUCUGAAAGAUGUUUUCAUCUGACUAAUUAGGUUGGAAAUCUCAGGAGAACAGUCCUAUUUGCUAUAUUUCUAAUGGAAAUGUUUCUGUUUCUGGUUGAGAAUCUUGCAAGAACAGAUUUCUCCUUCAACACUUCCUCUUGAACUUCAAGUAGGAAAAAAAUAAAGCAACUUUUCCUUUCUCAUCAUUUGGGAACUACAAACUUGAGUGGACUGGAUGACAUACACCAGUGGUCCUCAGACCUGAGCAUGUGUCAGCAUCACCUGGAGGCUUUGCUAAAACACAGAUUACUGGAGCCAACCCUCAGAGUUUCAGAUUCAGCCAUAUCCAGUAACAUAGCUGACUGCAUCAUAUUUACUGACAAAACCAGCAUGACAAGAGAAACAUGGGGCCCACUCUUCAUUUGCACUGACUCCAGCCAAGAGCUUCAGUUUUCAUGCCUUGUUUCAGAAUUAUUGGUGACCCCUGUGUUAAUUUCUAUUUCUUCUUAGAAGUCGGUUAUUUUAUAAGAAUGUAAUUGCAGGUAAGUAGCUGGGAAGAAAGAACAUUUUGGAAGAGGGAGACAUAUGCCUGAAAGAAGAAGAGGAUGGGAAUAAAGUCAGUUGCUAUUUUGGCCCAGAGGUAUGUGUAGGCAAACAUGUAGAUAUUGUAUUAACUUGAUUGUCUUAAUGAUUGGAGAAUGACAACUAUAGUACUUAUUUUCUUACAAGGAAUAUGUGCUGGAGGCUGCCUGCCAAUGAUCUCUACUGGGCACUAGAAGACAUAUCUGUAAUUACUUUAGAACUCAUUUCUGAGAUCAAAGGCCCGGCUCUGGUUUUUUUUUAGAGCAUUAGGGAACAUUUAUUGAAAUUUCACAAGUUCAUGAGUUCUUGUCACACUGAUUAUCAACCUAAAAUGUACAUUUUUAUGUUGAAUUGUAUAUUAUAUUUUAUGUAGGGCAGAAAUGCUUGACGAUUGGCAUCAUAUAGUUCAAUCCAGUAUUAUUCUCAUUUUUAAUAAUGAAAACACACACUCGCUCUAUUCUUCUUACUUCCCUCAACAGACCUGCAUCCAAGGUUUCUACUUCAUAGCAUAAAGCAGUGGCUCUCAAACUUCAAGGGGCAGGGCUUAUAACAAAGCAGAUUGCUGGCCCUUCAACGUCAGGGAUCCUGAUUCAGUACAUCUGGGGUGGGACAGAGAUUUUAAAUUUCUUUUUUUCCCCCAAGUUACCUGGAGCCUGGAGAGAUUUUGAAUUUCUAUUACAUAUCCAGGUAUGGCUGCUGUAGCUGGCCCAGGGACCACACCUUGUAAACUACUGCUAUAAAGGGAUAAUGUCCCCUAGGAUGCACUUUUAGAACUUACUUUUAAAUUUUUCCUCUAAACACCAAAACAACAUUGUACAUUUAGAUUUUCUAAAAGAAUAUUUUGCCAAUAGUUUAUUAGGCAAAAUGCAUAAAAUAUGAACUGUAUCACCAUAAUUUUUAGAGACCUCAAAAUCUUUCCAUUUAUGUGAAUAUAAGAUAAUCCUUAAAAAAAACUAUUUUACAGAGUAAAUAAUUAUAAAAACCUAAAAUUUAACAAAGUGUUGGAAUUGAGGGACGGGUGAAAGAACUAAUUAGGGGUGGUGGCUGGGUGGGAUAAUGCAGUGGAGAGUCACAUGUCCAGUUUGAGGUGACACUGGACAUUUUCCUUUCAACUCCUUCCCACUUCUGAGAGUCUAUGAGCCAAAUAGCACUGAGAAAGACCAGCCUAGAAUAUCUAUCUCCACUCUAUAGAUAACAAAACACAUUCCACAUUAAAAAAAAAAAAAAGAUCUUAAGACAGCUGGUCUGUGGAAGAACUCAGUUAGGGGAUCAGGACAAAUCCCAGUCUGGUAUCAGAGGUGGGGAAUAGGGCAUUGAAGGUGGGGACACAUACACUUUGGCCUAGCAAAG
rnacentral:lncRNA from 1 species